UACCAGCACCCCGAGUGGUCGGGACGAUUAUUGGGCCUAAAGCAUCCGUAGCCGGUCCUACAAGUCUUCCGUUAAAUCCACCUGCUUAACAGAUGGGCUGCGGAAGAUACUAUAGGGCUAGGAGGCGGGAGAGGCAAGCGGUACUCAGCGGGUAGGGGUAAAAUGCGUAGAUAUCAGGAGGAACACCGGUGGCGAAGGCGGUUCUCUGGGACGGUACUGACGCUGAGGAGCGAAAGCGUGGGGAGCGAACAGG
rnacentral:rRNA from 1 species